AGCCUAAACCAUCUGAAUUCCUCAGAUGGCAUGGUUCGAAAACGGUUCAACGUAGAGAGCUCCUAGUCAGAGCACGUUGAACCGUCAUGUCGAGAAAUCGGCAUGGGCCCGCAAGGGUC
rnacentral:sRNA from 12 species